GGGUGUCGGGCGAAUCAACGUUCGACAGGUCAUGCGCAGGUCGGGCCGCCGCG
rnacentral:ncRNA from 1 species